rnacentral:rRNA from 1 species
AACGAACGCUGGCGGCAUGCCUAACACAUGCAAGUCGAACGAGAUCUUCGGGUCUAGUGGCGCACGGGUGCGUAACGCGUGGGAAUCUGCCCUUUGGUUCGGAAUAACAGUUGGAAACGACUGCUAAUACCGGAUGAUGACGAAAGUCCAAAGAUUUAUCGCCAGAGGAUGAGUCCGCGUAGGAUUAGCUAGUUGGUGUGGUAAAGGCGUACCAAGGCGACGAUCCUUGGCUGGUCUGAGAGGAUGAUCAGCCACACGGGAACUGAGACACGGCCCAGACUCCUACGGGAGGCAGCAGUGGGGAAUAUUGGACAAUGGGCGAAAGCCUGAUCCAGCAAUGCCGCGUGAGUGUUGAUGGCCUUAGGGUUGUAAAGCUCUUUUACCCGGGAUGAUAAUGACAGUACCGGGAGAAUAAGCUCCGGCUAACUCCGUGCCAGCCGCCGCCGUAA